AUACGGAGGAUGCGAGCGUUAUCCGGAUUUAUUGGGUUUAAAGGGUGCGUAGGCUGUGCGUUAAGUCAGGGGUGAAAUGCCGUCGCUCAACGACGGAGCUGCCCUUGAUACUGGCGUGCUGGAGUACGGAUGCCGUUGGAGGAAUGAGUGGUGUAGCGGUGAAAUGCUUAGAUAUCAUUCAGAACACCGAUUGCGAAGGCAUCAUACCAAACCGUCACUGACGCUGAGGCACGAAAGCGUGGUGGUGGACCAGGAUUAGAUACCCUUGUAUUCCACGCCGUGAACGAUGAUGACUAACCUUCAGCGAUAGCCUGCCGGGGGCCAAGCGAAAGCGAUAAGUCAUCCAGCUGGGGAGUACGGCGGCAACGAUGAAACUCAAAGGCAUUGACGGGG
rnacentral:rRNA from 1 species